GGCAAACGCUAGGGGUCCUGCUUCGCAUUGUGCGGCGCGGGUGAGAAAUACCCUCCGAACCUGAUCUGGAUAAUGCCAGCGAAGGGAAGCUUAGGAUGACGCCG
rnacentral:ncRNA from 2 species